UUCCAAGAUUUUGUCUAACUUUGCAUAAUAAUUAGCCAAUUAAGUUGAUAAAAAACUGCAAUAUUAAUUUCAAUUAUAUAUCUCUAAUUAUGUAUUUAUUUACAGCUAUGUAGAACAUAGUGACUCAAAAACAGAAAGGAAACUGAAAACUUGUAGACCACAAAGUCUCACAUCUAAUCAUCUGUGAUUUCACACUCCUGGGAUGCAUUGACAAUUUAUGCAUUCAGCUAUAAAGAGUUAACUAUAUUGAACAAAUACAGAGCUGAGGAUCCCACAAGACUGUGACUCUAUCCAAUGCUGGACAUAGUACUCCCGUGGAGAGAGUACUAGAGUACUCAAAAAUUUCUUAAGUGACCAUUAGGAGAAACAGAGAUAAUUCUUCCCAAUUCUCGUUCUUCAUGUGUUAACAUGUGCGGUAUAAGGAAGACUCCAUGGGAAUCUGAAACAGCAUCCAACUCUUCCUCUCCAAUCAUCUAAAGAGGUAA
rnacentral:lncRNA from 1 species